GAGUGGAUGUAAAUGUUAAGUAAUUAAAAUGCGUGAUAUCAACAAUAAAAUGUUAAGUUUGUGUCUUUACUUUAAUAUAUCUAGUUUUAAAUUAAUCUGCAUUUGUUCAAAAAACAAGAAAAUGUGUAUUUUAUUCCUUUACUAAAUUAAUCUAAGUAAUCCCAGCCAAGCUUUUUAGGUACACACGCACAACAAACAAUACCUUGUUUUAUUUACUCACUUGGUAAAAAAAAAAAAAACUCCCCUUCCUGUUUCGUUGGUCUGGAAACCCCUUGCAUUCCUAACGAAGACGAACACGCGGACUGAAUUUAAGGUGAUUCUCCUGACAAUAGGCUACACUGGAUAAAGGUUUGUGAUGACGAUGAUGCUGCAGCCAUCCAAGAGGCCAUCACUUCAUUUGUGCUCAACAUCUUUGUGGUCAGCAAAGCCAGGGAUGGAGGUCUCGAGAAGAAAGUUGGAAUAGCCAUUGAGGGAGCGGAGGUCCUUUUUUGCAUUCCCAGUGUAGCACAUGCUUGCUCCUACCUUAUGGGCCUUAUUUAUGCUUUGGAACUAAGCUACCCAGAGAAACUUAAAUACACCUUUGAGGUAUUUCAGAAGAUCUUCCUGGAGCUGGAGGAUGUUAACAAAAACAUGUCCUCCAAAAUCCACGAUCACAAGAUCAGCUUACUGGCCUAAAAGCGAUACAGACAUUGUUGAAUGUAGAGGGUUUGAGUCCCUCUGGUAAAGUUUUACUGUGCAAUUUCUCAGGUCUUUUUCAGUGCACUUUCUCAAGUCACACUAAUCCUAUUUCAUAUAGGGACCAUGUUUGUGAGUGUUAAUGUUAAAGGUGCAGUUGAAGGAAAGAUGACAGUUAAGAAGUCAGAAACUAUAUUGCACAAUGUGAGUUUUUUUCAAUAGAAACCCAAAGAAACUGAAAUGUAGGUUUCUUAGAAGAUCUCCAUUGUCACACGGGGAUCAUACAUAUGAUCAUACAUGUGCAAGCGUGUUGUUUUAAAGUCUUAAGAGUAUGUUACUGUACAGGACUGAAAAACGCAAUUUUAUAGAAAAUAUUCUGUAAAUGUGUCUGAAUGGUUUCUUAUGAAGACAAUAAAGCCUGUCAACUUUCACUUAA